rnacentral:lncRNA from 1 species
GUAACAGAUGAUGCCUGAGUUCACACCAAUACUGUUAGAUAUGCUCCCCGUUCCGUGAUUCCCGAAGCCAACCACUGCACUGUACCACCAUCGCACAGCAUGGAAAUUGUUCUGAUCAAAAUGAACCAGUUUGGUGUCACACCCUACUCCGAUUAUCACGUCUUCUCUUUCUGUAUCUACUGAGAUUUGGAUAUCACUGUGCAACACAAGAAGAAGCAGAGGGAUGGAUAAAGAUGUCUUUUGUCUUGGGAAGAUUAGUCCUCCAAGAAAGGGCAGAGAAAGGAUGAGUACAGGAUGCCUCAGCCACAGUUCCAUCUUCUCCAGCGAGUACACUUCCCAGGAGAGCCAACCUGGGCCGCUCAUCUUAUACCUACUCAUUCAGCAAAUGUGCAAAAUUGACAAAAAAUUCUAAUUUUGAAUGUGCCCAGCUGAUAAGCUACAUUUCCCAGCCUUGCUUGAAGCUAGCAGUGUCUGUGUAACUAAGUUCUGACCAACGAGAUGAAAGCACAAGUCACCGGGUGGAGCUCCCAGGAACGCUCUAUAAAGAUGGAAGACUCAGCUAGCAAGCCUUUGCCCUCUCCUUAUUUCCACCUGGAAUUCAGAGGUGAUGCCACAGGAGAGACAAACAUUUUACAAUUCGAAGGCAAUGAAAAACGACGUUUACAAGUUGCACAACCUGCAGCUAGGAAGGCAUGGUGGUGCAUUACUUACCUUCCCUGGGCUGCCUACCUCUAGGCUUCUUGUUAGGUUUAAUGUAAAUCCUUGUUUGUUUAAGCCAACUGUAGUCCAGUUAUGUCAUACACAAUUGUAAACAAAUUUCUACCUGAUACAAGGAGUAACUGAGAUCUCUAUUUUUAUUUUCCUUACUUUGUUUCUGAAUACCUAUUAUUCCUAAAAAGCUAAGAUAUUGGCCGGGCGUGGUGGCUCACGCCUGUAAUCCCAGCACUUCGGGAGGCUGAGGCAGGUGGAUCACUUGAGGUCAGGAGUUUGACACCCGCCUGGCCAACAUGGUGAAACCCCAUCUCUACUGAAAAUACAAAAAUUAGCUGGAUGUGGUGGUGGGCACCUGUAAUCCCAGCUACUCAGGAGGCUGAGGCAGGAGAAUUGCUUGAACCCCGGAGGCGGAGGUUGCAGUGAGCCAAGAUCAUGCCACUGCACUCCAGCUUGGGUGGCAGAGUGAGACUCCAUCUCAAAUAAAUAAAUAAGUAAAUUUAAAAAGCUAAGAUAAGCUACGAUAUUUAGAGAGAAGGAGGGAAGAAAAGGGGGAGAGGAGGAAAGGUGAAGAUGGAUAAGGAGCUACAGUAAAGCUAAUAGUAAAGACUGGUGGGUCUGGAGCCAGACUAACUAGAUUAGAAUCCAAGCUGUGCUACCCUGAUUCAGUUUACUUUUUCAUUCAACUAAUUCAAAUUGAGCACACACUGUGUGCCAGGCGCUGUUCAAAGUUUUUGGAAAUGAAGUUACUUAACUUCUCAGUACCUCAGUCCUGGUUAAUUAAGUGGAGAUAUUGAUAGUACUACCUUAUGAGGUUAUUGUAAGGAUUAAAUGAGCUACUAUUUGUAAAUACCUAGAGCAGUACACGGCAUCAGGUAAGUGUUCAAUAAAUAUCAGCUAUUGUUAUUUAAAAUAAUUUUAUAGAAGUUUUAAUACAUGAAAAACAAAUUUACUUGUAUUAUUAAAUAAAAAAAUGAAGCUGUAAAAUGGUAUUAUCGCAUUUUUAUCUUGGAAAAGCCAUAUGUAUAUUUAGCAAGAAUACUGAA